AAUCUUCUGGGGUGUUUGUCAGUUAACUACGUCCCUGGCCGAUAAGUUUUAUUUUAGGAAGUUCAUCCUUUGCUAUUGCGUAAGCCCGACUUGUAUCGGGAAACCUACGGUGAAUGAGCAACUUCCGCCUUGAGCACACGUGUUCAAGGGCUUAUGUUGACUACGGCACCUUGGAAGUUUC
rnacentral:other from 1 species